rnacentral:tRNA from 1 species
GGUUGUGGCUUACUGGCAGAGUGCUUGCCUCGCAUGUGUGAGGUACUGAGUUCAAUUCUCAGCACCA